UUUGGAAUAAGAGAGAUGGCUUCUAUUUCGGUGAUAAUUACAGGAUAUUAAAUUAAAUUCCUUACCUUCAUUUUCUCAUUCUACCACAUAUUACAUAAUUUAUACAUUAUAAAAUUAAUCCUAAUGAUUCAAUGCUUUGAUGUGUCUUUUCAUUUGUUUCAGAGCCAUUUGCAGUACAGUGUAACUUUUCCCAGUACUGCGCUAAUGAAUGUAAGAAAGAAAACAUUUUUAGACAAAGCCUAUUUUAUUCUCAGACAACUUCAUUUAGAUUCAAAGUGGUAAUUCCAGGGGAUGUGUAAUAAUAUCGCACUUCUUACGUCACAGCAUCAUACUACUGGAUGCUUGUGGAGGUGAAUGGCUCUAAUGUGACAGAGGGAGAGAUUCAGAUUUGGUUUUUAGAUCUUUUUAAUAAAAGCACCUGUUCUGCUGGAGUUUCAACAACAGGAAUCAAUACAACAUCGUGCCAAACUCACAUAGUCUUUGUGACUGCUGAGGUUAGAUGUGAAGCCAAGCAGAACAUCCAAAAAACAAACUGCACUGUGCUGCUACAGCUGAGCCAACCUGUUAAUAUGUGCAUCCUCCGAAGGCUGGUGCAAAACGGGACUGUAAACCCAUCAAUCCAGAUCCAGCUUCUGGGAGAUGUAGAAAGAGUGGGUGAGUGUGACAAACACAAAUAAAUAUGGGCUUGAUUAAGUAACUCACAUUCACUAUUCAAGAAUAGUU
ensembl:lncRNA